CCAAAGGGGAACCCUGGUCUGAGGAAUGUCCCAUCCCAUGAGCUGGUUUCCUGUGAGAUGUGUUCCUUGUUUUGGUCCCACCAGGUCCAGGUGAGAAGCUGGGGUGGGCUGAGGCUACCAAUGUGGCUUCCAGGCUCCUGCUCCUGGCUCACGCCAUGAAUCCUCAGUGUCCAGGCUGGUCACCUCCUGAGGGGCCCCAGAUGCCCACCAGACAGAGAAACAUGUCCCGAUGCCCUUUCCUUCCCAAAUGGAUCACGGAACUCAAGGAAAUCAGACACACUCAGACAAGCGAUGGGCCCCAGAAGAAGUCCCAAGGCAAAGGAGGAAAGACUGUGAAUGAAGAGGAAAAUGCAGCACACUGAAGGGGACUAGCACGGGAAGAGCGAGCGAAACCCAGCGCCAGCAAGAGGAAGGAAAUGACAACGCCACAGAGGAGAAAACGAAACGAAGGCUAGAGAAACGAGAGGAGGACCCGUGAAACCAGAAGCUGACUCUUUGAAAAGGUCAGGACGUUGGCAGAGUGUUAGCCUGGACGAUGGAGAAAAAAGAGGGAAGACGCAGUAACUCGAGGGAGAGCAGGGCACGUUGAGGCCUUUGGGAAAGGAAAGCAUUAGAGGAGGAACGGAACACGUUCCCUCCAAUUAGGUAAUCGGCACCUAUCUCGGAGCCGCCUGGGCACGGCACGCCGUGUUUCUGUAGCGGGGGCCCGGUAAUCUCGGUGACAUUCUUGGGAAGCUGCAGGAUGUUAUUUCCGUGGCGGAGAUGAAAGGCAUCCGCCCACUCGGGAUGGUGGCUGGGAGGCCAACCUGAGAUCUAAACUCAGGUUUCCUGGCUCCGAGCCCAGAGCUCUCCUCACGGUGACACAAUGCCCAGUACGCCGUGCGCGCGUGAGAUACUGUGGCUUGUUUGUUCCUUUUUCUCAAAAACAAGAGAUUCCAAGCUCAUGAAGU